rnacentral:misc_RNA from 1 species
GAGAGAGAGAGAGACAGAGAGAGAACAAAAAUGGUGGGGGGCUCAUCAACAAGGAGUGAGAGUGAGAAGGAGAAAACCAAACUUAGAGAGAGACAAAGAAGGGCUAUCACCACCAAGAUCUUCCAUGGCCUUCGUAGACAUGGUGGUUACCACCUCUCUCCUCGCUCUGAUAUCAAUGAAGUCCUCCGGGAGCUCGCCAAAGAGGCUGGCUGGGUUGUUGAACCUGAUGGCACCACCUACCGCUAUAAGCUUCUGAACCGCUGCCCAACUUGUGGUGCCAUUCCAUUUCCACAUAAUGUUACUACUAGCACCACCGCAACACCCACCACCAGUAGCACUGUCUUUGUGGGAGGAGGAGCUGGAGAGUGCUCAACCACUGCAUCCCCUCGCCGGAUUGAUCCCACCAUGAUGUUGACUGGCAGUAGCAGUAACAACAAUAACUAUGGAGAGCCCACUACCACCACCACCGCCACCGCUACCUCCUCUGCUUAUAUUUGCAGUGAUGGCUUUGGCGGUGAUGUUGAUAUCCCUCUUGCAUUCUACAUGUACAGAGGACUCACAGCUGGUGGGCUCAACCAACCGUCCACCAUGGAGGCCCGAGGUGGAAUGAAGGUGGCCGGUCAAAGUCAGCAGCAGCAGCAGCAUGGGACGUACAUGCAAGAGGCGAGGGCAUCUAACCAGAACACGCCUGUGGGAUCACCUCUGCAGAAGUUUGGAUAAUUUUGAAUUCCGAAUUUGCCCUCAUCUAACCAGAACACGCCUGUGGGAUCACCUCUGCAGAAGUUUGGAUAAUUUUGAAUUCCGAAUUUGCCCUCAUCUAACCAAGGUUUACAUAUAUACAUAUAUUUAAAUGUUUUUCAUUUCUUAUUUUUAAUUGGUUUAUAAAUAUUUAUUUUUAUUUUUAUUUUUAUU